CUGAUCAGCUUGACCAGCGACCUUUUUUAGAAUCUACGGAGCAUGGGCCACAUCCCCACCCAAAAUUGGGCGCAUAAAAACCUUACCCAUGGCGCCAACGCCAUCGCCACUGCCACGCCCACCGACGAACCGUCAAGCCCAAAAAAAAAAAAAACACACACCUAAACGUGCGUUGUCAAAAAAAAAAGAAACAACCGAAGCAACCACAAUCACAAUCGCAACCAACGUAAAUAAUUUGUCUACGGAUUUUAGUGCUUUACGACGGGCACUAGCCGAGCGCAAACUUAAAUCGUCAAACGGCAGACGAGCCACCCCAAUAGACCGAUCCACACCCACCCGCUGAACCAGCGAGCCACCAAAACAAUCACCUGGUAGCACGUUACUACCCACCAUCAUCCCACCUUGAUCUUGGGGCUCAAACCACCUGAUUCUGCCAUCGUGGAAAGUAUUCACUGUCAAUGCCAUUGUCAAUAAAGAAGAACCCCCGU
ensembl:ncRNA lncRNA:CR45617 long non-coding RNA:CR45617